GCCUCUCUAGCUCAUCUGGUUAGAGCGCCGCUCUCGUAAAGCGGAGGUAGGCGGUUCGAGACCGCCGAGAGGCU
rnacentral:tRNA from 1 species